rnacentral:lncRNA from 1 species
UAUAAAACAUAUUAUUAUAUACAGAGUAAGAAGGCUUUUAGGAGUCGAUUAUUUUCUUUUUUGAGAAAUAGGUAGCAAGCUACCUGCUUCAUUCAUUAAGAAAAAUGAACUAGGCGUACAUGAUGAAGGCAGCUGAGGCCUCCUUAAAAACCGAAGGCAACCAAAAAGUCACUAAAAAAGUACAGUGUACAGAACAAACCACGGAAGUAACUAACUAAAAGAAGUAAAGAAAUCAAAUACGAAUGUUAAAGACAGAAUUUGAUCACAGGACCUCGUUCCAAACUUUGGUCAAGCACUUAACACGUUCUAGGGCCCGGGAAGCAUUGGGACUCGCGUCUUGGAAGAUAGUGUUAUUACGCUCGGUCCAUAUCACCCACCAAAUUGCCACCAAAAGGGUGAGACUAUGUGUCCUGAGCCUUGCGUUGUGAAUGCUCGCUGUCUCCAUCCAUAGCCAGCGGACAUCCCCCGAUUCCAGUUCGCUUCUCUCUACAAUUCCAGCACUGACUAGAAGAUAUCUGGCGGAGACACAUUCUCGGAAGAGGUGAUCACAAUUUUCUGGAUUUAGCGCGCAAAAAAUGCAAUACUGGUCCACUGUACAUCCUCGACGAAUCAAUCUAUCUGCUGUAAGUAAUCUCUUGCGUAGAAGUAUCCAUAUAAAUACUUUGUACUUCGCCGGAAUUCU